rnacentral:lncRNA from 1 species
GUCUCUGUAUAUUUUAUUAAGUGUUCUGUUGGGUUUUCAUGUGCUUUAUACUUGGAAUAGUAUUGAAUGUUUUGUAUAUAAUAAAUUGUGAAGCUUUAUUAAUCUUGUUAUCUGUUGUACAUGUAAUUAGUAAGUCAAUGAUCAAGUUUCUGUGCUACCAUAUUUAGACCAGUGCCUUAACUGUUUUGCCUGCUACGCUACCACAGUAUAAACCAUUUUGUCAGCUACGCUACCAGUAUUACUUAGUUUGUAACUCGACACCAGAGUUGACAGAUCUAUAUCAGAAUUUACCAAGAAUAUAGUAACCAGUGUGUUAACCUCGUAGUAAUACCUUUAUUUUUGGGACACCCC